CUACAAGGCCGAGUUUUCAAUAUGUUGUAAACAUCCUCACACCGAGAGCAAAAAUAGCCCACUUUGAUUCAUUGCCUGCCAGUGCUUGCUCUUAAGAGUAGCCAAGAGGAGCAAAGAAGCUGGAAAGGAAAAAAGAAAACCAGAAAGAGACAAAGAGAGAGACAAGAGAGAGAAAGAGGGUCGUGGGUUAAGAGAGACAGAGAGAGAGAGAGCAAGAGAGGAAAUUUUAAAGUAAACAAGCAGCUCUAAGUACCCUGGACUUAACUUGCCGAAAACUUCAGUGGAAAGGGCAAGCCUCACUCGGAGGAUCCUCGGGUAAUAAAAGACGUCUUGGUUUUAUGAAGGUAACUGGCAUUGGCAGAGCUGCUGGCUGCCUGCCUGCAUAGUCCCACGACCUAUAACUUAAUUUGGAUUUUGGAUUCAUGCAAAUACGAGCAUCAGAGAGGAAAUAAAGUCUCAGCUGACAACCAGAAUGAAUUUCCCAGCAGAGCUCAUGAGUACAUCCUUACUGUGGAGAAAUAAGGGGUUUUCCAGGGCUUCCCAAUUCUCAAUGCUUCUAGCACUUGCAUAUAAAAUGUUAAGCAGGGUCCAUUUAUAGAUGACAGCCACCAUCCCCAGCCCUGGGUAACCAUCAUCCUGCUUUCUGUUUCUAUGAAUGUGAUGUUUUUAGAUUUCACAGAUAAGUGAGAUCACACAAUUUUUACCUUUCUGUGCCUGACUGAUUUUGCUUAACACAAUAUCCUUUAGGUGCAUCCAUGGUGCUGCAAAUUAUAGCAUUUCCUUCUUUUUAAGGCCAAAUAGUAUUCCACUGUGUAUAUGUACCACUAUACACAGUGGUACCUAUACUAUAUUAUCCAUGAAUACAUAUAUUAUCCAUUAACCUAUUGAUGGGCACUUAGGUUGAUUCCAUUAAUCUAUUGAUGGGAACUUAAGUGCCAA
rnacentral:lncRNA from 1 species